rnacentral:lncRNA from 1 species
GAGAAAUUCAAUCUUUCCAAAGAAUUAUUGAAUUGGACUAUCACAUUUUAAUUAAAACCAAGGUUAGGCAGCUGAUCAGUUCCGCACUAACCCCGAGCAGGCCCCGCCAUGCUCUAUCACUGGAUCCAAGGCACUCAUUGGCCUAACAUGACCACGAAUCUGGUCCACAGGUUUAUAUAAAAACAAUAAUCCAAUUCUCUAAUUCAAUUCAAGAAGCCAAUGUAAAUUAACAGAACAUCAUCAUAAAUAUCAUCAACAACAGAAUAAUUCCAAUUCAAACUUUGAUAAUAAUCUAUUCAUAAAUCAUGAUCCAUCAUUUCAUAAAUCACAGUUCAGGAAAUCCUCAACUAUUCAGUAUCCUCCAUUAUCGGCUAAGCAACUGAAUUUAGCCUGCUAAACCAGCAUGACAAUGGCGGGUUGAAUAAUCAAGAAGAUCCCAAUUCAUUCAAAGCUCUAACUAUCACUGAGCAACACAUGCUUCAAUGACAAUCUGAACUUCGAAUUAAUUAAUAAAACGGAAAUUCUUUAGAAACUUGAAGAAUAGGAAGAAUGGAUCCGAACAUAUGCACUUUUAAAUAUAGAAAGGAAAGGUACGAAUUCUUGCAACAGAUACCAAAGGAAUGGAUCAGAAUAUUGGUCCACAGGUUUAUAUAAAAACAAUAAUCCAAUUCUCUAAUUCAAUUCAAGAAGCCAAUGUAAAUCAACAGAACAUCCUCAUAAAUAUCAUCAACAACAGAAUAAUUCCAAUUCAAACUUUGAUAAUAAUCUAUUCAUAAAUCAUGAUUCAUCAUUUCAUAAAUCACAGUUCAGGAAAUCCUCAACUAUUCAGUAUCCUCCAUUAUCGGCUAAGCAACUGAAUUUAGCCUGCUAAACCAGCAUGACAAUGGCGGGUUGAAUAAUCAAGAAGAUCCCAAUUCAUUCAAAGCUCUAACUAUCACUGAGCAACACAUGCUUCAAUGACAAUCUGAACUUCGAAUUAAUUUGUAAAACGGAAAUUCUUUAGAAACUUGAAGAUUAGAAAGAAUGGGUCAGAAUACUCGCACUUUCGAACAUUGAAAAGAAAGGUAUGAAUACUUGAAACAUAUACCAAAGGAAUGGAUCAGAAUAUUUGCAAUAUAUCCAAGAGAAAGGUUUAGGAUACUUGCAACACAUAUAAAAAGAAUGGAUCAGAAUAUGCAAUAUAUCCAAAAGCAGGGUGCAGGAUACUUGCCUUAAAUCUGACUCCAGUCUCACAUCUCAAUCUCAUCUUUCCACUUUCACAAUCUAUGCAUCUCAUAGUCUCUAGACCAUCUCUGGCUAUACUCUAUCUACCGUACAUCUUCGCUUCGCUUACUCGAUUCAUCCCUUAUUCACUUUGCAAUACCAUUCCGACUUCCUGACGUCUUCGAGCGUACACGUCUCGUUCAAAUCCUAUACGAGAAUAAGAUAAUACUAUAGUCACUAAACAAUAUAUCGCAUAUACAUAUCACGUAUAUCGAUACCCACUUAUAUAUCCCUUUAAACCUAUCACAUAUCACUUGACACAUAAUCAUGCUUUGACUCUAAUAUAUAGCCAAGUCAUAUUCCACAUAACAUGUUACAAAUCAAUUAUCAUAUGAAUCCUAUCGAAAAUCCGACAUCAUCUCGUCUAUUUAUUAGACUAUCCACCUGUUAUCUAAUCUCAAUCAACAAUCAACCAACCAAAUCCAAUCAUUAUAAUCCAUAUCUUCUUAUCCAAUAUCAAUCAACUCACGACACUAUGUCAUCCAAUUCUUUUAUCACACAUGUAUACUAUCAUGAAUAAACAUGUAUAUCACGUAAUCAUCAAUUAAUAGCAAUCAAUUAACAUAUAAUCACAUUGUGCACAUUUAACAACAAUUAUUCACAUUCUCGACUCCAUCAUAUUAUUAUGUUAUAUCAAACUAGACUUUAUAAGCUUCUGUCUCUCUUUCGUUUCACUUGAUUCCGACUUACGGAUCAAAAGUUAUGCUCAAAACAGUUUUCUCACUCUCCUAUCGGCACAUAACACAUCCAACCAAUAGCAGACAACACAUUACACAUAAGGUUUCCCAUCCCGAUUGAUAUCAAAUCAACUCUUGGGUUAAAAAUGAUUUUUCGGGAAUUUUCUGGAAUUUUUAAACAUUUUUUCGGAAUUAAAACGGAUAAAAGAAUCAUUUUUCAAAUAAAUAAUCAAGUCCGGAUGCUCAAAACUGGACUUGAAAUUAUUCAUAAACAAUUGUCGAGCCUUGAACAUAAUUUAGAAAAAUAUUUCAAAGCUCGAAACUAUUUUUCGGAAUUUUUAAAUCAAAAAGGAUUAAUUAAAUCCAAUUAAUUAAUCAAUUAAAAUCAAUUAAUAAUUAAUUAAAAUAAUUAAUCAAUUAAUAUUUAAAUUAAUUGACUAAUUAAAAUAAUUAAUUACUAAUUAAAAU